GAGGAUGUAGCUCAGUUGGUAGAGCAACGGACUUUUAAUCCGUAGGUCCAGGGUUCAAGUCCCUGCAUCCUCACUA
rnacentral:tRNA from 2 species